rnacentral:rRNA from 1 species
AUUGAACGCUGGCGGCAGGCCUAACACAUGCAAGUCGAGCGGAUGAAGGGAGCUUGCUCCUGGAUUCAGCGGCGGACGGGUGAGUAAUGCCUAGGAAUCUGCCUGGUAGUGGGUGAUAACGUCCGGAAACGGGCGCUAAUACCGCAUACGUCCUGAGGGAGAAAGUGGGGGAUCUUCGGACCUCACGCUAUCAGAUGAGCCUAGGUCGGAUUAGCUAGUUGGUUGGGUAAAGGCCUACCAAGGCGACGAUCCGUAACUGGUCUGAGAGGAUGAUCAGUCACACUGGAACUGAGACACGGUCCAGACUCCUACGGGAGGCAGCAGUGGGGAAUAUUAGACAAUGGGCGAAAGCCUGAUCCAGCCAUGCCGCGUGUGUGAAGAAGGUCUUCGGAUUGUAAAGCACUUUAAGUUGGGAGGAAGGGCAGUAAGUUAAUACCUUGCUGUUUUGACGUUACCAACAGAAUAAGCACCGGCUAACUUCGUG